rnacentral:rRNA from 1 species
AUUGAACGCUGGCGGCAGGCUUAACACAUGAAAGUCGAGCGGAGAGAGGUAGCUUGCUACUGAUCUUAGCGGCGGACGGGUGAGUAAUGCUUAGGAAUCUGCCUAUUAGUGGGGGACAACAUUUCGAAAGGAAUGCUAAUACCGCAUACGUCCUACGGGAGAAAGCAGGGGAUCUUCGGACCUUGCGCUAAUAGAUGAGCCUAAGUCGGAUUAGCUAGUUGGUGGGGUAAAGGCCUACCAAGGCGACGAUCUGUAGCGGGUCUGAGAGGAUGAACCGCCCCACUGGGACUGAGACACGGCCCAGACUCCUACGGGAGGCAGCAGUGGGGAAUAUUGGACAAUGGGCGGAAGCCUGAUCCAGCCAUGCCGCGUGUGUGAAGAAGGCCUUAUGGUUGUAAAGCACUUUAAGCGAGGAGGAGGCUACUUUAGUUAAUACCUAGAGAUAGUGGACGUUACUCGCAGAAUAAGCACCGGCUAACUCUGUGCCAGCAGCCGCAGUAAGAC